AACAGAAAUACCAUGGUGGAUGUAAUCAUAAAGUUACUUCAUUUUUUAUCUACUAUUCCUUUAAAGGAAUAACAGCUGUUUAACAUCUUCAGUCCACUGUUAUAAUAAUUGUUGUUAUUAUAACAUAUAACUUAAAUAUAAUAAUAAUUAGUAUUGUAACAUAGUUAUAAGAAGAGAGAAGGGCUUAGAGGAAAGCAGCAGGAGCUUGACAAAUACCUGUAUGAUUGUCUAGAUUCCACUCUCUUUGGGUUUGUCAAGUUUAAAAUCUGACACAUUCUUUGACAAUACUUUUUUGAAUUCUUUGAAGAUAUCGUAUGUAUCAGACACCUCAUAUGCCUUACCUCCCAUCUUCUUGACUAAUGACCUUUUGCUUCAGUCACUGCUCUGAGAACCACAGAGUUCAGAAGUAACUGGUUGCAUCUUAUCUCUGGUGCACCAUACAUUUCUUUCUUUCUGCAGUGUGGAUUUUCUGAUGCUACUGUGUAUGACACCUCUGGGAACCCAUUUGAAACACACAGGCAAGUAUGAGGGAGUUGCUGCCCCAUAGAUAAAUGCUUUUUUUCCCUGUCUCUCAGGAAGAAAGUGGACAUUUUUAAAAAUUUUAAUUUUUGAUUUUUAUGAGCACAUAGUAUGUGUAUAUAUUUAUGAGGUAUAUGAGAUAUUUUGAUACAAGCAUACAAUGUAUAAUAAUCACACCAGGGUAAAUUGAGUAUCCAUCACUUCAAGUAUUUAUCAUUUCUUUUCGUUACAAACAUUCCAAUUAUACUUUUAGUUAUUUUUAAAUGUACAAUAAAUUAUAGUUGACUGUAAUCUCCCCAUUGUGCUAUCAAAUACUAGAUCUUAGUCAUUCUAUCUAACUACAUUUUUGUAGCUAUUAGCCAUCCUCACUCCUGCCACCCCAUUACCCUUCUCAGCCUUUGGUAACUAUCAUUCUACUCUCCAUCUCCAUGAGUUCAAUUGUUUCAGUCAUUAGUCCCACAAAUGAGUGAGAACAUGUGAAGUCUGUCAUGUAGACAAUUUUGAGACACAUUCUACCUUGCUCCUAGCUCAAUAACACACUUGCAUAAGCUUUCCUCUAUUCCUCUUAUUUCUUGCCUGUUUCCCACUCCUUUUCAUUCACUUUACAAAAUAGCAUAUCUGUAUUCAAACUCUUGUCUCAGGCUCUGCUUUCUAGGGAUAAUCCAUACAAAAUCAUACAAUCAGUUCCCUUGACAUGAGUAAAUGCACGCAUUCAGCUGAUCCCAAACUACUUCUUCAGUCUGUGGGCAGCCCAUGGUUUACUUACAGCUUCUCUCUCCUGUCUUUUUGUGCCUGCAGAGUCUUCUUGGACAGCACCUAAGAUGGUGCCUAUUUCAGCACUCUCUUUGCAAAGAAGCCCAUUUCUGGUGCAUAGAACACAUACAAAUCCUAAGUGACAAAAACUCUGGGCAUGCAGGCUGACUCGAACGCACCCAUCUUUCUUUGUUCUACUACCAGUCAGCCUCUCUUAUGUUAAAUUUUUCAGGAAUGGGGAGGACACAAAGCCACUGUGGCAGCAAGGCUCAAAGGACUCAUUUUAAACUCUCCAAGUAUUUUCCUCAAAACUCAUUCCCUGCCCAUUAUGGUCUCCACUUUGAGGGCAAGGUAGGAUUCAUAGCAUCACAGCAGCUCUCUCCAAAAUAUUAACUUUUAAUUUGACCCUUUUAUCUUCUCCAAAUUUCUUUCGUAGUAUAAAGGUGGAUCUUCAACUAAGAAUUGCAAAAACUGGUUAUCAAAGACUACCUUUACAUGUCCUGCAUAGAUACCUCACAACUUGAUUUGAAUUGUGACCUUUAUUGUCUUGGGACCUCAGCCAAGAAUAGUUCAAACUGAAUAUUAUUACAUAUACAAAGAAAAAUAGUUUUAUGGGUGCUCUGAGUCCAAGAUCUGAUUAGGAUACAGAACUGUUUGAUUGUAAUUAAUGUUGUGGCAUAUUUGAAAUAAUUAUAAGGAUGGAAAGUUCCUAGUGCUUAAAGAAGAGUGAGGGAGAUAACAAAACAUUAAACUUAAGCUCUCUCUCAAUUUUAGGAAAUAACUGAUGGACAAGUAGAUAUUGAAUGAAUUAUGUAUGAUGGCUCUUCCAGCACUCAAAUCCUUUGUUUAUUUCUUUGUUGGUGAUUGAAGAUAUAACCAUUUCCUCAUAUAAAGCGGUUUUCACAAACUUUCUAUAACUGUAUUUUGGGGCCUCAAAAGGAAGAAAAAAAUGAUCAAACUGAUGAAGAAAGAAUGGGAAAAUAAAAGGAAUAAUUAUAAGCCAGAGUAAAAAAUACUACUUAGGCAUAUACCAAUUAUUUCUGCAAAAUCCACAAUUUAUGGAAAGAAAUCUCAAUGUUCACAUAUUGAUCAGCUUUUUAAAAAAAUUAUACUUUAAGUUCUGGGGUACACGUGCAGAAUGUGCAGUUUUGUUACAUAGGUAUACACGUGCCAUGGCGGUUUGCUGCACGAAUCAACCUGUCAUCUACAUUAGGUAUUUCUCCUAAUGUUAUCCCUCCCCUACCCCUCAACGCCUGACAGACCCUGGUGUGUAAAUGCAAAUCAAAACCACAAUGAGAUACCAUCUCACGCCAGUUAGAGUGGCGAUCAUUAAAAAGUCAGAAAACAACAGAUGCUGGAGAGGAUGCGGAGAAAUAGGAAUGCUUUUACACUGUUGGUGGGAGUGUAAAUUAGUUCAACCGUUGUGGAAGACAGUGUGGCAAUUCCUCAAGGAUCUAGAACUAGAAAUACCAUUUGAUCAGCUUUUAUUCAUACCCACAAAGAAUACUUUGUAAUAGAGAUUUCUCACUGAUUUGGGGAAAAAAAAGUGUAUUCCAUUAACGUAUUAGAUUACUGCUUCAUCUCAUCAACUCUUAUUUUUACCACCACAACAAAACAGCCUAUUUAAAAGCAAAUAUUGUACCAUAUCAAUCCUUCAUUAAUGAAUGAGCCUAACGAGCAGAGAAUUGUCCAGGUUCUGUUCACUAUCUGGCUAUUCAUAGUAAUGCAUUGUCUGAAAUAAAGUCAGAUUUGGGUAACUCUUGCACCAAAGCCACUGACAAAGAUUUAUAUGGUUUACCAUAAUGAGUUGACUUCUCUUUGGAUAACGACAGUGACUAAUGCUGUACCUAUCUUGGUGGAGGCAUUUUUUUAUCUUAUCCAUGUUUUACGGAAGGUGAUCUUUGGUUUACAGAAUCGUGGAACUGGAAAAUAUAUUUAGUGUUUACCUCAUUCAUUCCCUUAUUAUGAAUGAGAAAAUUGAAUCCAGAGGCAUUAAAUGAGACAUGUUAGGCUAAUGGCAAAGAAUUGUCUAGAACUCAUGCCUUGUAAUUCCAGAGCCCUAUGCUGUGAAAGAUAAAAACAUUAGUUUUUUCUGUAACCCAAAAACAGGCAUUAUGACAUUGCUUUCUGAAAUAGACAUAUGCCAGUUAAAAUAUGGUAGAGUGCUCAAGUUAUAUGUGAAACACAGGGCUUUUUAUUUUCAAAAUGGGAAAGGAUGUCAGCUCUCAGUGUUUACUUGAUAUUUGAGAGUUAUUUCCCUUAUAUUUGUAAUCACACCAGAAUGUGGUAAAGAUUAACAAACCAAUGAUGUUUAUGACAAGUCUUUGUUUUUUUCUAGUUGUUCAUAACUACCAUCAAAAGCUGAGGUUCUAGAAUGUCCAUUUAAACAUCCAGGGCACUACUGUCAGCAAGAGAUCAUUAAUCCAGUGAGAGUAUAAUUAAAAGAACAGUCUUCCAUCCUCCCACUCCAAUUUCCAAACCUGAAUAAGAUGAAAAUAUAUCUUUAUUCUUGUUGCUUUCCACUUAGGGUUGUAGUGGCUACCUUACCUAAAAAUAAGAUUACAUUGUAAAGCAAGAUGUCAUUUCAAAGUGUUUGUGUGUAGCUAUAGAGGGCUAUAUGGCUUUGUUGCUUGAAGAGACUCUUAUCUAUCAACAGAUGUGUAGGCAUGGUCUGGUUGUCAGAGAAUGAAUAAAGAGAAGCUGAUGAUGCACCA
rnacentral:lncRNA from 1 species